CGGUUAAACUCCGCCAUUUUGCCUCUUAGUGCUCAUGCUUGAGCCCGCUUGCCCAACUCCUGAGAUGUCAUCGGGAAGCUGCUGAUCAGCAAUUACAGGUGUUUCUGUGUAUUGAGAGACUGCCUUUCCCUGGCAUUGAUCAAUUAUUUUUUUAGAGAGAUACUUAACAACUACCUCACCAUCACUUGAUGGUUGCCUGACAUUCCUGAUUGGUGAGGGAGAGAGGGAGGGAGUCAGGGGGCUCUCCUGCCCUGUUCCUGUCUGACUAGCUACCUGCUGUAACAAUUAUACUAGUACUAGUGAUAAACCUAUCACUUGUGCCUAUGACAGGGCCUUGCACAAGGUAGAUAACCAAUGAUUAUGGUUGAAUUAAUAAACAAGGCCUCUCUUAUGCCCCUAAAAAUGCAGAGAUGCUCUUCUCACGUCUCAUUCGGAAUCUACUCUCAAUUAUAUAUAAGACGGUAAGAUUAGUCAACUCACUCUCAUCAGGUGGUUAACGUGCUAGUGGUUAAUCCAAUCCAAUUACUUGUUCAAAUAAUUAGACCCAUGCUGGAUGUGUUCUUUCAGCUCAGCCCCGCCUUCUCUGAAACUAUCUCAGAACCAGUGGCUUUGGUUGGGCACUGGAAGUACAUAAAGAAGAAGACAUACAUGCUGUCUCAGGGUGAUCGUGGGUCUCUAGCCAGGAGUCAGAUGACAUCACCACCAUCACAAGCUGGUGAUGCCAGAGAGGACCUGCCUGGGUGUUCUGAUGCUCGGAACCUCUACAUCCUUCUUCCAUGCCUCCUAC
rnacentral:lncRNA from 1 species